rnacentral:rRNA from 1 species
CUUCCGUAAGGGGAACCUGCGGAAGGAUCAUUACAGAAUGAAAAGUGCUUAACUGCAUUUUUUCUUACACAUGUGUUUUUCUUUUUUUGAAAACUUUGCUUUGGUAGGCCUUCUAUAUGGGGCCUGCCAGAGAUUAAACUCAACCAAAUUUUAUUUAAUGUCAACCGAUUAUUUAAUAGUCAAAACUUUCAACAACGGAUCUCUUGGUUCUCGCAUCGAUGAAGAACGCAGCGAAAUGCGAUAAGUAAUAUGAAUUGCAGAUAUUCGUGAAUCAUCGAAUCUUUGAACGCACAUUGCGCCCUUUGGUAUUCCAAAGGGCAUGCCUGUUUGAGCGUCAUUUCUCCCUCAAACCCUCGGGUUUGGUGUUGAGCGAUACGCUGGGUUUGCUUGAAAGAAAGGCGGAGUAUAAACUAAUGGAUAGGUUUUUUCCACUCAUUGGUACAAACUCCAAAACUUCUUCCAAAUUCGACCUCAAAUCAGGUAGGACUACCCGCUGAACUUAAGCAUAUCAAUAAGGGGAGGAA